rnacentral:rRNA from 1 species
GAUUGAACGCUGGCGGCAUGCCUUACACAUGCAAGUCGAACGGUAACAGGUCUUCGGAUGCUGACGAGUGGCGAACGGGUGAGUAAUAUAUCGGAACGUGCCCAGUCGUGGGGGAUAACGCAGCGAAAGCUGUGCUAAUACCGCAUACGAUCUAUGGAUGAAAGCGGGGGAUCGCAAGACCUCGCGCGUUUGGAGCGGCCGAUGGCAGAUUAGGUAGUUGGUGGGGUAAAGGCUUACCAAGCCUGCGAUCUGUAGCUGGUCUGAGAGGAUGAUCAGCCACACUGGGACUGAGACACGGCCCAGACUCCUACGGGAGGCAGCAGUGGGGAAUUUUGGACAAUGGGCGCAAGCCUGAUCCAGCCAUUCCGCGUGCAGGACGAAGGCCUUCGGGUUGUAAACUGCUUUUGUACGGAACGAAAAGGUCUUCUCUAAUACAGAGGGCCCAUGACGGUACCGUAAGAAUAAGCACCGGCUAACUACGUG